AUUUGUGGCCAAUCUCACCUAGAGAAGUCCGAACUAAUCUGAGCUCGGAAGCUAAGCUGGAUUCAACCUGGUUAGUACUGGGAUGGGAGACUGUUGGGAACACCAAGUACCCUAAGGG
rnacentral:rRNA from 1 species